CAGGCCUAACACAUGCAAGUCGAGCGGAUGACAGGAGCUUGCUCCUUGAUUCAGCGGCGGACGGGUGAGUAAUGCCUAGGAAUCUGCCUGGUAGUGGGGGACAACGUUUCGAAAGGAACGCUAAUACCGCAUACGUCCUACGGGAGAAAGCAGGGGACCUUCGGGCCUUGCGCUAUCAGAUGAGCCUAGGUCGGAUUAGCUUGUUGGUGAGGUAAUGGCUCACCAAGGCGACGAUCCGUAACUGGUCUGAGAGGAUGAUCAGUCACACUGGAACUGAGACACGGUCCAGACUCCUACGGGAGGCAGCAGUGGGGAAUAUUGGACAAUGGGCGAAAGCCUGAUCCAGCCAUGCCGCGUGUGUGAAGAAGGUCUUCGGAUUGUAAAGCACUUUAAGUUGGGAGGAAGGGUUGUAGAUUAAUACUCUGCAAUUUUGACGUUACCGACAGAAUAAGCACCGGCUAACUCUGUGCCAGCAGCCGCGGUAAU
rnacentral:rRNA from 1 species